GACGAACGCUGGCGGCGUGCCUAACACAUGCAAGUCGAGCGAAUGAAGUUCCUUCGGGAAUGGAUUUAGCGGCGGACGGGUGAGUAACACGUGGGCAACCUGCCUCAUAGAGGGGAAUAGCCUCCCGAAAGGGAGAUUAAUACCGCAUAAGAUUGUAGUACCGCAUGAUACAGCAAUUAAAGGAGCAAUCCGCUAUGAGAUGGGCCCGCGGCGCAUUAGCUAGUUGGUGAGGUAAUGGCUCACCAAGGCGACGAUGCGUAGCCGACCUGAGAGGGUGAUCGGCCACAUUGGGACUGAGACACGGCCCAGACUCCUACGGGAGGCAGCAGUGGGGAAUAUUGCACAAUGGGGGAAACCCUGAUGCAGCAACGCCGCGUGAGUGAUGACGGCCUUCGGGUUGCAAAGCUCUGUCUUCAGGGACGAUAAUGACGGUACCUGAGGAGGAAGCCACGGCUAACUACGUG
rnacentral:rRNA from 1 species